UACGUAGGGGGCUAGCGUUGUCCGGAUUUAUUGGGCGUAAAGAGCGUGUAGGCGGCCAGGUAGGUCUGGUGUGAAAACUCGAGGCUUAACCUCGAGAUGUCAUCGGAAACCAUUUGGCUAGAGUCCGGAAGAGGAGAGUGGAAUUCCUGGUGUAGCGGUGAAAUGCGCAGAUAUCAGGAAGAACACCAAUGGCGAAAGCAGCUCUCUGGGCCGAUACUGACGCUGAGGAGCGAAAGCGUGGGGAGCGAACAGG
rnacentral:rRNA from 1 species